GCUUAUUAAUGUAGAAUGACGAGUAAAGUAAACCUGGCCCCCAACAUUCAGCUCUAUGACUUCAGGGAAGGAGUUGGGAACAGCAGCCCCUUGGUCCCGAGGAUAAUAACGGCUACAGUUCCCACUCAGAGCCAUUGUCCCUUCCUUCUGCAGCUUCCUGGAAUUAAAGGUGCACUCCAAGGGAGUUACAGCCCUAGACUUUGCAUCCACUCGUAAGGACAGAGAAAGCAAUGAGUCUCUGCGCUUACCUUAGCGAGUCCUGGAGACUCAGUUCUUGAGAAGAAAUAACCUCUUCCAGAGCAAUCAGAAAUCACAUCCACACUGAGCCUGGACGUCUUGUCAAAUCCCAAACAGCAAAGCAGUGGGAUACCAUGAUUAAGGGAGUAAGCUUUGAGAUCAAGCAGUGGGGGCUCGGUCAUCU